rnacentral:rRNA from 1 species
AUUGAACGCUGGCGGCAGGCCUAACACAUGCAAGUCGAACGGUAACAGGAAGCAGCUUGCUGCUUCGCUGACGAGUGGCGGACGGGUGAGUAAUGUCUGGGAAACUUCCUGAUGGAGGGGGAUAACUACUGGAAACGGUAGCUAAUACCGCAUAACGUCGCAAGACCAAAGAGGGGGACCUUAGGGCCUCUUGCCAUCGGAUGUGCCCAGAUGGGAUUAGCUAGUAGGUGGGGUAACGGCUCACCUAGGCGACGAUCCCUAGCUGGUCUGAGAGGAUGACCAGCCACACUGGAACUGAGACACGGUCCAGACUCCUACGGGAGGCAGCAGUGGGGAAUAUUGCACAAAGGGCGCAAGCCUGAUGCAGCCAUGCCGCGUGUAUGAAGAAGGCCUUCGGGUUGUAAAGUACUUUCAGCGGGGAGGAAGGGAGUAAAGUUAAUACCUUUGCUCAUUGACGUUACCCGCAGAAGAAGCACCGGCUAACUCCGUG